rnacentral:misc_RNA from 1 species
GAUGGAAGAACGUAGCGAAAUGCGAUAAGUAAUGCGAAUUGCAGAAUUCAGUGAGUCAUCGAAUCUUUGAACGCACAUUGCGCCCUGUGGUAUUCCGCAGGGCAUGCCUGUUCGAGCGUCAUUUCAACCCUCAAGCUCUGCUUGGUGUUGGGCCCUGCCCGCUGCGGCCGGCCCUAAAGACAGUGGCGGUGCCGCCUGGCCCUGAGCGUAGUACAUCUCUCGCUCCAGUGCCCGGUGGUAGCCUGCCAGAACCCCAACUCUCGUGGUUGACCUCGGAUCAGGUAGGGAUACCCGCUGAACUUAAGCAUAUCAAUAAGCGGAGGA